rnacentral:tRNA from 1 species
GGGGAUAUAACUCAGUUGGUAGAGUGCUUGCCUUGCAUGCACAAGGCCCUGGGUUCAAUCCCCACCAUCCAUA